rnacentral:rRNA from 1 species
GAUGAACGCUGGCGGCGUGCCUAAUACAUGCAAGUCGAGCGAACAGACGAGGAGCUUGCUCCUCUGACGUUAGCGGCGGACGGGUGAGUAACACGUGGAUAACCUACCUAUAAGACUGGGAUAACUUCGGGAAACCGGAGCUAAUACCGGAUAAUAUAUUGAACCGCAUGGUUCAAUAGUGAAAGACGGUUUUGCUGUCACUAUUGAUUGAUCCGCGCCGCAUUAGCUAGUUGGUAAGGUAACGGCUUACCAAGGCAACGAUGCGUAGCCGACCUGAGAGGGUGAUCGGCCACACUGGAACUGAGACACGGUCCAGACUCCUACGGGAGGCAGCAGUAGGGAAUCUUCCGCAAUGGGCGAAAGCCUGACGGAGCAACGCCGCGUGAGUGAUGAAGGUCUUCGGAUCGUAAAACUCUGUUAUUAGGGAAGAACAAAUGUGUAAGUAACUAUGCACGUCUUGACGGUACCUAAUCAGAAAGCCACGGCUAACUACGUG